AUACGUAGGUGGCGAGCGUUGUCCGGAAUUACUGGGCGUAAAGGAUGCGUAGGGGGAUAUUUAAGUGGGAUGUGAAAUCCCCGGGCUCAACCCGGGAACUGCAUUCCAAACUGGGUAUCUAGAGUGCAGGAGAGGAAAGCGGAAUUCCUAGUGUAGCGGUGAAAUGCGUAGAUAUUAGGAGGAACACCAGUGGCGAAGGCGGCGUUCUGGACUGUAACUGACACUGAGGCAUGAAAGCGUGGGUAGCAAACAGGAUUAGAUACCCUGAUAGUCCACACUGUAAACGAUGAAUGCUAGGAGAAGGGGGUAUCGACCCCUUCUGUGCCGCAGUUAACACAAUACGCAUUCCGCCUGGGGAGUACGGCCGCAAGGUUGAAACUCAAAGGAAUUGACGGGG
rnacentral:rRNA from 1 species